rnacentral:rRNA from 1 species
GACGAACGCUGGCGGCGCGCCUAACACAUGCAAGUCGAACGGUGACGAGGACUUCGGUUCUCUGAUCAGUGGCGGACGGGUGAGUAACACGUGAGCAACCUGGCUCUAAGAGGGGGACAACAGUUGGAAACGACUGCUAAUACCGCAUAAUGCAUUUAGGGGGCAUCCCUUGAAUGCCAAAGCUUUAUGUGCUGAAAGAUGGUCUCGCGUCUGAUUAGCUAGAUGGCGGGGUAACGGCCCACCAUGGCGACGAUCAGUAGCCGGUCUGAGAGGAUGAACGGCCACAUUGGGACUGAGAUACGGCCCAGACUCCUACGGGAGGCAGCAGUGGGGAAUAUUGGGCAAUGGGGGAAACCCUGACCCAGCAACGCCGCGUGAAGGAAGAAGGCCU